UGGGACAGUCGGGAACCGCGCCCGCCGCCGCCGGCCGCGCGGCCGGACGAGGGGACGAUGGAGCUGGAGCCCGAGCUGCUGCUGCAGGAGGCCCGCGAGAGCGUGGAGGCGGCGCAGAGCUACCGCCGGGAGCUGAGCCAGAGGCUGCAGGGGCUGCGGGAGGCGCGGAGGCAGAUCAAGGAGAGUGCAUCCCAGACAAGAGAUGUCCUCAAACAGCAUUUUAAUGAUUUAAAGGGAACUCUUGCAAAGCUCCUGGAUGAGCGGUUGGUGACCCUCUUGCAAGAGGUGGACACCAUUGAGCAGGAGACCAUCAAACCACUAGAUGACUGCCAGAAGCUGAUAGAACAUGGAGUUAACACCGCAGAGGACUUAGUCCAAGAAGGUGAGCUCGCCAUUCGGGGAGGUAUAGGAGAACAGAAUGAAAAGCUCUGGAGUUUUACCAAGAAAGCCUCGCACAUCCAGCUGGACAGCCUACCAGAAGUGCCUUUACUGGUCGACGUGCCUUGCUUAUCUGCUCAGUUGGAUGACUCAAUUCUUAACAUAGUGAAAGACCACAUUUUUAAACAUGGAACGGUAGCGUCUCGCCCACCGGUACAGAUAGAAGAACUGAUAGAGAAACCUGGAGGCAUCAUCGUACGAUGGUGUAAGGUGGAUGACGACUUUACUGCCCAAGAUUAUAGGCUCCAGUUCCGUAAAUGUUCUUCCAAUCAUUUUGAGGACGUAUAUGUAGGCUCUGAGACGGAAUUCAUUGUACUGCACAUAGACCCCCACGUUGAUUAUCAGUUCAGAGUCUGCGCCCGAGGAGACGGCCGGCAGGAGUGGAGCCCGUGGAGCGUCCCCCAGAUCGGUCAUUCCACGCUGGUCCCGCAUGAGUGGACAGCUGGCUUUGAGGGGUACAGCCUGAGCAGUCGAAGAAACAUCGCGCUUCGCAAUGACGCCGAGUCGUCCGGCGUGCUCUACUCCAGCGCGCCCACUUACUUCUGCGGGCAGACGUUGACGUUCAGAGUUGAAACUGUGGGACAACCAGACAGAAGAGACAGCAUAGGAGUGUGUGCAGAAAAACAGAAUGGAUAUGACUCCCUGCAGAGGGAUCAAGCAGUAUGCAUUAGUACAAAUGGUGCAGUUUUUGUAAAUGGAAAAGAAAUGACUAAUCAGUUGCCCGCAGUUACUUCUGGGUCCACUGUCACAUUUGACAUUGAAGCUGUGACUCUAGGAUCCACCAAUAAUAACGAAGGCGGAAACUUCAAGCUUCGAGUGACUAUUAGCUCAAAUAACAGAGAAGUGGUGUUUGAUUGGUUACUCGAUCAGUCUUGUGGUUCUCUUUACUUUGGAUGCUCAUUUUUCUAUCCUGGGUGGAAAGUGUUGGUGUUCUAGGUUUUCCGAUGAUUGGCUUUGGGUAUGCAGGGGUUUCACAUAGCUUUCCUCUCAGCCCAGUUGUCAUUGGUUUAAAGAAUGGUUAGAUUCAUCUCUCAGUUAAGCCAUUGGAAACAGAAAUUAUUUACAGGAUUUCUUUUGGACUAUCUCAGCAAUAAGAGGCGUGAAUAUGGUGGACGAAACCAUUGCAAUGCAGUCCAUUUUAUUUUGUAGUAUAGUGUUAAUUGGAAUAUGACAUCACCAUAAAAAUCAAAUUGGCUUUUAAAGUAUGAGGAGAUACAGAAAGCCUUAUGAAACCCUUCCAGUGUACUUCUAAAGUUGGUUGUAAGAACAGAAAAAUGCAACAUAACAUCAUUUUUUACUAAGUCUCCAUCUUUUAAAGAUCCAAGGCCAUUUAAGACUUUAGAAUGAAAAGCCAGGAAUAGACCAGGUAGAAUAUGCCAUAAUGUGCGCUGUAACGUACACUCUCUUGUGUGUUCCCCACAGGAGUGUUGAAUAUGCUCUUCAUCUUCAGGGAUUUGUAAGCAGUAUUGAAUUUUAUCUCAUGUUCAGUAAUCUUUAAGUCCCAAAAGUGUGAUAAGUUUUAAAAAUUACUGAGCAAAUGUCUACAACAGGCAAAGUGUUUUCUUUUGUUCUUUCCUUGCAGUCCCAUUCCCAAUAGGUUUGAGGGGCUUUACAGGGUAAAACUACUUACAGAAGUAGUAUGCACAGCAGUGUUAUUAAUAGCUAUGUCCCAUGUAUGAAAUAUGCACCAGUGCACAUCCAGCCUCAGUGACUUGCGUGUCGCUCUUGGUAGGGUCUGAGUUGCAGUCCAGUUCAUGAAUUGGUCUUUUAGUGGACCAAACAAGUGUAGGCUAAAUACUUGACCUAUUUUUUGGGAAACAAAUUUGUUUAAAAUAUUUAUUUGAAGGACUUGGAUGUAAACAUGAUUAUCUUAACUUGCUAUUUACCAGCCUAAGAUCUUUUCUCUUUAAUGUGAAUUUUUUUUUUUCCAUUUUUAAGAGUAGAAAAGUGGAAAAGCAAGUUUGAUAUUUUUGUAAGAUAAUUUAUUGGGGGAUUCCAGUUCCCUAUUAGACAAUCAUGACCUUUUCCCGUUGCCUUUUUAUAUAAGUAAGCUGUUUUUUACUUGUUUAGUGAUUAAGAAGAUGUGCUAGAAUGUAGAUGCCUCGUCCAGCUAUCUGAAACAAAAAUAAAAAAGUAAAAGGUUCAGAACUUUUCACACGUGUGUGAAUCAACCAGUGCCAGAACGGACAGUUUGUUCAGCUCUAAUCGGUGUCCUGUGUCUUUCUCUCUCUUGGAUUAUUCCUUAACCUUAGUGGAGCACUUCCUUCAUUUGCUGUGAAAGGGUGCCCAAGAGGUAAAUUUUUUGAGAUAGAAAGCUGAAAAUCUCUUUAUUCAAUCCUACCUUUGACUGUGACUCAUUAAGAAUUCUAGGUUGGCGAUCAUUCCCUCUCAGAAUUUGAAUGCACCGUUCUGUGGUCUCCCAGGAAAACUAAUGCCUUCCUGAUGCCUGUUCAUUUGUAUGUUGUAUGUUUUUCCUCUUUGGAAGACUAUAGUCCUCCUCUUUGGAAGACUCUUUAUUCCAGCGGUCCCCUACCUUUUUGGCAUCAGGGACUGGUUUCAUGGAAAACAAUUUUUCACGGACUGUCGGGAGCAGUGGUUUUGGGAUGAUUUAAGCAUGUUAUAUUUUUUGUGCACUUUAUUUCUAUUAUUCCACCAGCUGCACCUCAGAUCAUCAUGUAUUAGGUCCCAGAGGCUGGGGACCCCUGCUCUGUUGUCUUCCUAGUUUGUUUUUGGUAUAACACUCAGCUAUGUAGCUCAUUUGACAGCUGAGCCUGUAGGGAUAUGAGUUUCUAAUACCCGCUUUAAACCCACUAGAUUAUAAAUUCCUUGAGUUUUUGUAUUUUCUAUAGCAAGUUAUUCUCAACCCUGGCCUCACAUUAGAAUUUCCUGGAGAGCUUUUAAAAAUAGCAGAAAUUCUGAUUCAAUUGGUAUUAGUGGAGCUCACUUUUUUUUUUAAGAAAUGAAAUUAAUUAUUAUGAAGGCAGGUUUGGGAGUAACCACUCCAAAGUAACUAAAAGUACAGUCUCCAUGGUGAUUUUUUUUGGUAAAUCUAAAUUUGUUCUCUUUGGAAGACUAUUCUUUAUUCUGAAAUUUAAGUUUCUUGCUCUUUCUAUACUGUGUCCUUCUGUAAAAUUAAAGUGACAGUAGACAUCAGGUUUGCUGGGUUUGUUUGUAAAUCCUAUCUGACAAAAUGUCAAAAAGUUUUUGAAUAUUUAUUACUGGUCUAUGAAAUCCAAAGUCUGGGAUGUACUUCCUACCCAACAUUUCCUGAUAUGUGGGUAUCUGAUAAGUACUUAUGAACUAAGAACAGUACUUUUCUUAUAAGACAAAAAACCAUAUUCAGCAAAAUAAAACUAAUCUCUCACAAAAGCCUUUCUUUCAUGGAAUUUAAUGUUGAUUAAAUGAAAAGUGACCUGUCACUUCAUUAGUCUUACCUAAGGCAGUGUUAGAAAGCUUGCAGUUUUGUAGAGAAUUAAGACUUUGUUAAUGUAAUCUCAGGAGACUUCUCCAGGAUCUUAAAAUAUAUAGCUUGUGAAAGGAGCAAGCAUGUUAUUUUUCCUUAGAGGUGGGAGCUGAGGAUUGAUGUUGACAAAACUGUAAGGUUGUAGGGAAGGAAAUAGUGAUAGAUGUUAACCAAGAGCAGAUUACUGUCCAGAUCCCCUGUUGAAGGAGGCACUUUUUUUGUCUAUUGCCAUAGUUAUUUUAAAUGUAUUUUUAAUUGGAGGAUAAUUGCUUUCCAAUAUUGUGUUGGUUUCUGCCAUAGAUCAGCAUGAAUCAGCCGUGGGUAUACGUAUGUCCCCUCCCUCUUGAAUCCCUCCCUCCCACCUCCCAUCCUAUUGAAGCAGGGAUUUUGAUCCCAUUUUACAUUUGAAGAAACAAACUCAGUGUGGUCAAGUAAUUGAGUUUUGGAGCUGCAAAGGCCCUGGAGUUGGCAUUCAAAUCCAGGCCUGCGGACUCUCAGUGCUUCUGCCAUGCUCCUCUGUGUCCACACUGCCUUAUGUCCCUGGGGCACCAAUUUGAGAUAAGACAUUUAGCUUACUAUCUUGGCUUACUAAAACAUGAACAAAUGUCACCCUCUCUGGCAUUCAUGAGGGUCUGCCUUCUUCAUCUUUGUAGCCUCACACUUAACUAAGGCAAAGGCCAUUAUAGGUGCCCAAGAAGUAUUUAAGGAAUAAAGAAGGCUCCGUGAGCCUAACUAAUGGCAUGGCAACCAUGGUCCUUUCCCUUCAGGGCCUCACAGAAGAGCCAGCUCCCUGCUUCCCAAAUAAGAGAAGUAGGGGUCAUUUGGACAGAAUCCACUCAGAAGAAAAUCUUAGUUGAAUUAGUGAAGAAAGGAGCUAAGAUUUGUUGGAUUCCUGUUACAUUCUAGGCUCUUGUUCUAGGUGAUUCAUACAUUUGUCUCAAAAUAGAAAAAAGCUUUCAUUCUGUGACCUGUGUAGCUUCAUCGCUGCUUCUCUGGAGUAAUGAGCAAUAAGUCUAGCAAAGAGAUGCAUGCUCGUUUAGGGAUAGGAGAAAGAAGUGACUUUAGUUUUGAUCCAUGAGAACUGGGAGAAUCCCUGAAACAUGAGUCUUACUCAACUCAUUCCCAGUGCUUGGGACAAGUCCCAGCACACAUCCACAGACAAAUUACAGGACAACUGGAGUGGGAGUGUGCUAGCAGAGCAGGUGGAAGCUAUUUGGGUUCUGAAAAAGGAUGGAGUAACAUGGACAGAAAUAUGAUUCCAGGAGAUGGUGCACCUGUAGGUGACCACUGGUUGAAGCUUUGCCAUGUGGGUGGAUAGGAUAGUAGUCAGAAAUGGGAAAAGACAACAGAUUAAAUACAGUAGUUUAGGAGAUACACACUCUGUUCUCUAAAACCAGCUUUAUAAUGUGAUUCAUCCAUGUGACAUUUAAAUAACAAUCUUGUCUUAUACUUGAGUGAAUUUUUACUUCUGUAUAAAAACCAAUCUUACACUUGUACAAAUAGUACAUAGAAACGGAAGGUGCUCCAGAAAUUGGAUUGUAGACUGUGUAUGGAGAACACCAGGGUGCAUGGUGUGUACCAUGCUGUACUCUGAUACCCUACCUGGUUGGAGGGGAGACUGCAUACAUGAGAGAGUAAGACUGAAAAGAUAGUGAAUUCCAAUCAGGGAGGAAAAGUGUAUGAUUUUUCUGCUGUCAACAACUCAGUUCAGUUGUUCAGUUGUGACCCCAUGAAAUGCAGCACACCGGGCUUCCCUGUCCAUCACCAACUCCUGGAGUUUACUCAAACUCAUGUUUCCAUCACAUCGGUGAUGCCAUCCAACCAUCUCAUCCUCUGUCGUCCCCUUCUCCUCCAGCCUUCAAUCUUUCCCAGCAUCAGGGUCUUUUCCAGUGAGUCAGUUCUUCACAAUCAGGUGGUCAAAAUAUUGUUUAGCUUCAGCAUCAGUCCUUCCAAUGAAUAUUCAGGCCUGAUCUCCUUUAGGAUGGACCAGUUGGAUCUCCUUGCAGUUCAAGGGACUCUCAAGAGUCUUCUCCAACACCACAGUCCAAAAGCAUCCAUUCUUCAGCUCUCAGCUUUCUUUAUAGUCCAACUUUCACAUCCGUACAUGACUACUGGAAAAAGCAUGCUUUGACUAGACAGACCUUUGUUGGUAAAUGAUGUCUCUGCUUUUUAAUAUGCUGUCUAGUUGGCCCUAACUUUUCUUCCAAGGAGCAAGUGUCUUUUCAUUUCAUGGCUGCAGUCACCAUCUGCAGUGAUUUUGGAGCCCCCCCCAAAUUAAAGUUGUUUCCCCAUCUAUUUGCCAUGAAGUGAUAGGACCAGAUGCCAUGAUCUCAGUUUUCUGAAUGUUGAGUUUUAAGCCAACUUUUUCACUCUCCUCUUUCAUCAAGAGGCUCUUUAAUUCUUCACUUUCUGCCAUAAGGGUGGUGUCAUCUGUGUAUCUGAGGUUAUUGACAUUUCUCCUGGCAAUCUUGAAUCCAGCCUAUGCUUCAUCCAGCUCAGCAUUUUGCAUGAUGUACUCUGCAUGUAAGUUAAAUAAGCAGGGUGACAAUAUACAGUCUUGACAUACUCCUUUCCCCAUCUGGAACCAAUCUGUUGUUCCAUGUCCAGUUCUGUUACUUGUUGACCUGCAUACAGAUUUCUCAGGAGGCAGGUCAGGUGGUCUGGUAUUCCUGUCUCUUUAAGAAUUUUCCAGUUUGUUGUGAUCUACAGCCAACAACUGGGACCCAUCAAUGGUCCAUUUUAAUAUGGUACUGGUAUAGUUAAUAAAACAUGUAUCUCUGCUUUCCUUGGAGCAACAUACUAUUUAGAUUAACAAAAAAUACAAAUACAGUGUUCAGACUAUUUUUUACAGCGCCUGUUUUACUUAAUACCAAUUGACUGUGUUCCAUAUCUUUGUUAACUUAUCCAUUAUACCUGGUUCUCAGUAAGAAACCAUCCCUCUUCCUGUUUUUUUCUAGUUUUUAAAAUAUAAGAACUACAGAAAACAGGCAGUACAUUUAAAAACUGCAGUGAACAGCCUCCUUCCUACCUGUCCUUUCACCCAGCCAUCUUCCCUGACAGCAGUUGCUUUUGUGUAUCCAUUUUGUCAUCUUCUUCAACCAAGCAAAUAUUGGUUACAUAUUCUUUAAAAAUUUUGUUUAAAAUGAAAGUAUUCUAGAAACUUCUGUACCUUUCUAAUCUGCUCAACAGUGGUCACAGUUUGUCAAUUUACAUGUGCCCCAGUUUAUCUGUCGGAUUAAAUUCCUGAAGAUGAAAUUGUUGGGGCAAAGGUUAAACGCAUUAUGAUUUUAAUGGAAAGUACCAAAUUACUCUCUGUAGAGGUUGUACUAACUUAUUUCCCCACCAGAAAUGUCAUGAGUACCCACUUCGCCGUUUUUUACCCAACAGUAUUAUCAGCAGUCUUUCAUCUUUAGCAAGCUGAAUCCACCUGUGUUCCUGAUCUCCUUUCCUUUUCUGGUCAUGUGUAUCUUUGGUCUUCUCUGUGUCUUCCAUAGUCUGCAGGCUCGACCUUCCUAUCCACUCUCCCCAGUCUCUCUGCCUGUUUUCCUCUUUCAAUGGCCCCAUUUCCCGCAUAUUCAUGAUAAAACUUUUCCGACUCAUUUUCCAUUUAUUAACAUUAAACUCCUCAAACCUGUUUUCUGUUACUUUACCCUUGAAGUUGCUGUCUUAAACUCAUUUUCUGUUACAGGACGGCUUCCUUUAUGAAACUCUUCUUCCUUGGCUUUGUCACUGCUGAUUAAUUUUUUCAUACUGAAACACCAUGAUUUCUUCUUGGGCACUUAUUUCACAAUGGGCAGAGUUCUAUUAUUUAGUCGGGUAUCUCACCUGGAGGACUCCCGCAGCAUCCCUGUGCUUCUCCCUGUGGAAAGCUUCUCCCCUCCCAGAUUCUUGGAACCACAGCUCACCUAUGACACAGACUGGUUUGUGUCAUGUCUGUGCAGUAAAUCUCCAAAUACUUCUUAUUGCCUGAAAUCCAAAUGCUUAGUUAGCAUGGCAUAUAAGGCUUUCAGUUUAUGUAACAAAUAUAUGAACACCAAAGAAGACCAUGAGUCACUAGUAAGGCCAGUGAGACUGACUCAGGAGUCUAAUGAAAAGGAAGCAGGUGUUUAAAGAAACAGAGUGAGCUUUGGAACCAGAGGCUCUCAGCUCAAAGCACAUACAUGUGUACAGGCAAGCUAUUUCCUGUAAAUAAACCAAGCACAGUGGAACCGUCAACACUUCAGGAACAUUUUCUUCAAUUCUUCUAAAUUAAUUUCAACUACUGACCUCACAGAAUAUAUUAUUUUAUUAUAUAAUUAUUAUUUGUGUCUCACUAUAUGGUUUUUUGAAAGCCAACAUAAAUUCCUUUUCAUUCAAAAGAAAAUGAAAAAACCAAAGGUGAAUCAGCCUUAGGGCAAUUAAUAUUGACAUUACCCUAGACUAUAAAUUUUAAAAUAUCUUUUAUGUGACAGUAUAACAUACUAGUUGCAACUGUUAUUACUAGAACUAAAAGCAGGAUUUCACAUCUUCUCAACUUAUUUGCUCUGAUGGAUAUACUUUUUUGGAUAUUUCCUAUCCUAGCCAAGCCAAAAUUUUUUUGUGUGUAUUAACAAUGCAUAAUGUAAGAAAAAAACAAAACAAUGCAUCUUUUAUAUUAUUGAACUUUAUGUACAAAAUCAUUUGAUUUCAAAUAAACAUUUAAUGUAAAAACAAA